rnacentral:rRNA from 1 species
UACGGAGGAUCCGAGCGUUAUCCGGAUUUAUUGGGUUUAAAGGGUGCGUAGGCGGCUUUGUAAGUCAGUGGUGAAAUACUCCAGCUUAAACUGGAGGGGUGCCAUUGAUACUGCGGAGCUUGAGUACAGAUGAGGUAGGCGGAAUUGACGGUGUAGCGGUGAAAUGCAUAGAUAUCGUCAAGAACACCGAUAGCGAAGGCAGCUUACUGGGCUGUAACUGACGCUGAUGCACGAAAGUGUGGGGAUCAAACAGG